rnacentral:lncRNA from 1 species
GCGAAUAGACCAAUAAACCCAGGUGGGCGGAUCCUACCCGGAUCGGGUCACCGUUCGGGUUUGAUCACAGACGGCGCCGUUUUGAAUCAGGUUAUUAAAAUAAAACAAAGCACAAAAAAAAGGAACCCUAACAGAACACUUUAAAACCAUUUCUUAAAAACUUAAACUCUCCCUCUCCCUCGACACCGCUCAGUAGUUCAUCACCCUUUCAGAGGCUCUCCGGACCGUGCCUUUAGCUCCGACAACAACGGAGGAAGAGCAAUCGGUCCAAACGUGAGGUACGCCCUCUCUCUCUUACUGUUAUCUCCUUAAAAAUGCUCGAUAGAAUCUCAAAACAAAAACAACAAAUCCCAAAAAAGGGUUGAACUAUGAACAAUCAAAAGAGAAAAAAAAUGAACCCAGAAAUUACCUUUUUUGGUGCUUUUUGAUUUUUGUAUUCUGAUUUUUGUAUUCUGAUUGCGUAUAUUUUUUUACAGCAUGGUCUUGGUCCUUUUUAUAGCGUCUAUUUACAGAAUAGAAUAAAAUAAAAAUAAAAUCCAAACAAAUCGCCCCUGCUCUGUCAUCCUUACUUUUUUUCUCUCUGCCCCUUUUGUUUGGUGUCUGUUUUUGCUGCUUUUUUGUGCGUCUCUUGCAGGUACGGAGCGCAGGGUCUGGACGCGGCACGUACGGAGGCGAAGGCGCGCGUACGAGGUAGCAGACGUGGCACCACGCACAUGGGGAGAGGCGUGGGUGGCAGCGGCGCAGGAGGCUUCUGCUGCUGCUAGGGUUUUCGGCGUUUGAGGCUGAGUUGGGUUUUGGCCUUCCGUAAUCGGGCUAGGGACUUGGGCAUUUGUAUUUAGAAGUUGGGCUUAUUGUAUUGGGUUGUAACUGGACUGUGGACUUUUAAUUUUUAAUUUGGUUUUAUUUUAUUCAUUUGUUUAUUUGGUUUAUUUCAUUAACGGGCCGAGCAGAUUGAGCCUACUACAAUUAAAAAAUAUAUAAAAGUAUUUUAUUGUAAUGAUGACGUAUUAUAAGAAUAAGAAAUAGACAUUAUUUUCUUGGGGCUUGGCUCUGAAAUCUCAAGCUGCAUCGGCAAAGUGUAUAUACACACAGAGAGAGUCCGUAUGCGUUUGGAUGCAUUCAUUUAAUAAUUGUAUCCUUGGAAGCUUUCAUUAAUAAGUAGACACAGUGGUUAAUGUUGUCUUCAACCUUCCUAGCAAAAGUCAUGCUCAACUUGUGGUGCAAAACUCUUACUCUGCUACUGCUAGGCUACGAGGAUAUGGGCUAUUCUAAAGAGAAAACUCUGAUAUAACGUCCAAGAAAUGUGAUAAAUACUUCUUCUCUAAACAAACACCCUUUGCUAGAUAGGUGAUGACGCAU